ACAUGCUCGCCAUGUGACUGAGAGCUCCGCAGCAUGGAGGUAUAUGUGGAAAUGGUCUUGGUACAGUUCAGUAAGUGUUAAAGGGUUAACUACAGGAAGCACACAGUGACAUGACUUCUAAAGCAGCAACUCCAACUCUGUGUAUUUCUGUAGCCCUUGAAGUGCCACCGCAUUUCAUCUCUGGGAUGGAGGAGGUUUCUCAGGCAGUGCCUAACCUGGACGUUGCCUGGUGUGCAUGCAGCUGCCAGCCCAGCUGGGAUGGGCACUGGAGCAGAAUGAGCAACCUCUCCAGAUGUCUCUCCUGGAGCAAAGCAGGAGCAGCUCCCUGCUGAAAGCUGUGGAAACCCACCCGUUCUGUGCUGAUGGCGAAGCUUCUGGCUUCUUUGAUGUUGGAGAAGGAAGGAGGUGUCCUUCGGGGCUCCCAAGUGAAGCCUUUGCCGACCACAGCUGAAGAACAAGGCAGCAUGAUCAACAGGAAAGUCAGAGUCUAUUUAUCUCUGGCACAGCCUGCCCAUUUCUAGUCUGGAUGGAAAAGAAGACUAAAGUCCACGGAGCUCUUCGGCAAACAACAACCAGCAUAACAACAAAUGCAGCAGAAGAGAAUGCCAAGGUUGUCAUCCCCCAUCAGCGGUUUGGAUGGAUUUCACCCUGGGAGAAGCUUUCGGGACGCUCGGGGCGGAAUCUUGCGCAGGAAACAGGUGGUUUGCUUUACUGAGAGGCAUGUGUAAUGGCCAGGGAGCUGCGCCGCGCCACGCCAAGCUACAGCAGAUGGGCUGCAGCUCGCUCCGCUCCGCUGAAGGAUAUUUUUCAUGUUAUGUGUGGAAAAGAGCAGUAACCCUUGUUUGUUAUAUGAGGCCUUGUAGGACUUUGUUUGGAAAGAAGCCAUUUGCAAGAUAAAAAAAAAAGCCAUUAAAAAUAUGAG
rnacentral:lncRNA from 7 species